rnacentral:snRNA from 1 species
AUCGCUUCUCGGCCUUUUGGCUAAGAUCAAGUGUAGUACAAUGUGUUAGUUUCUGCUGUACAGUGAAGUGAAUCAGCAAUAUGUAUACAUAUAUCCCCUCCCUCUUAGACCUGUCUCCACCCCAAUCCCAUCCAUCUAGGUCAUCACAGAGCACUGAGCUGAGAUCCCUGU